UACGUAGGGCGCAAGCGUUAUCCGGAAUUAUUGGGCGUAAAGAGCUCGUAGGCGGUUUGUCGCGUCUGCCGUGAAAGUCCGGGGCUUAACCCCGGAUCUGCGGUGGGUACGGGCAGACUAGAGUGCAGUAGGGGGGACUGGAAUUCCUGGUGUAGCGGUGAAAUGCGCAGAUAUCAGGAGGAACACCGAUGGCGAAGGCAGGUCUCUGGGCUGUUACUGACGCUGAGGAGCGAAAGCAUGGGGAGCAAACAGG
rnacentral:rRNA from 1 species